rnacentral:sRNA from 1 species
AGUUCUGUGCUUGAAAUGACUUGAGAC